rnacentral:rRNA from 1 species
CAGCAGCCACGGGAAUACGAAGGGGGCUAGCGUUGUUCGGAAUUACUGGGCGUAAAGGGCGCGUAGGCGGCCAUUCAAGUUAGAUGUGAAAGCCCUGGGCUCAACCUAGGAAUUGCAUUUGAUACUGUUUGGCUUGAGUUCGGGAGAGGUGAGUGGAAUUCCCAGUGUAGAGGUGAAAUUCGUAGAUAUUGGGAAGAACACCAGUGGCGAAGGCGGCUCACUGGACCGACACUGACGCUGAGGCGCGAAAGCGUGGGGAGCAAACAGGAUUAGAUACCCCAGUAGUCCCUGUCUCUUAUAC